UGCCAGCCGCCGCGGUAAUACGGAGGGUGCAAGCGUUGUUCGGAAUUAUUGGGCGUAAAGCGCGUGUAGGCGGUUCAUUAAGUCUGGCGUGAAAGCCCGGGGCUCAACCCCGGAAGUGCGUUGGAUACUGGUAGUCUUGAGUAUGGGAGAGGAAAGUGGAAUUCCGAGUGUAGGAGUGAAAUCCGUAGAUAUUCGGAGGAACACCAGUGGCGAAGGCGGCUUUCUGGACCAAUACUGACGCUGAGAUGCGAAAGCGUGGGGAACAAACAGGAUUAGAUA
rnacentral:rRNA from 1 species